GCUGGGAGUAUCGCACAAAAUAGACGCUCUGCACUCACUGUUUUUCGGUUUUUCAUCUUAUCUUAUCCGAUAUAUACCUAUUGAGGAGGGUUAAGAGUUGAAAGCAACGUUGAGUUAGUGGGUGGGAAUGUUUGUUUCUGCCUGGCUCCCUGAAUGCCAUAUAAGAAGUUUGUCAAAGAGUGUUGGCAAUCUUCCUACUUGGCGUGAAGGGAGUCAUGCAGGCCUUGUCAAUCUUUCUACUCUAUUCUCAGCCCCGGGGUGCCCUCAUCGAAUCUCAUCUAAAUCAUCAUCAGUAAACUACAUCUAUAUAUAGAUUAAUUGCUGUUCUGUUUUAUGCAAAUGCCUAAUUAACUAAAACAAAAGGUAUAUAUUGUUGACUCUCUUUUCUUUAAUCAUGUACAGCGGUCUUCCUUCAGGGAAUCGGAAAACAACUAAUCAUAACCUUUUGUUGAGGCAUAUGUUUUUGAGAAGUCUUAUGAUAUAUGCCAUAUGGAAUGCAAGUGCAGAAGCAAGCUGAUGAUCAUUGGUAUGUUUAUAUUUACCAAUAAUACUAACCUUAUUAAUCCCUCUCACUAACCCCUCUCACUAAUCUCAUGUGGGAGUUUGUCAUUAUCUUGGUUAGGUUCGACCUAUUAUUAGACAGACGGGUCCUAUGUAAAUUGAUGAAUUGUGAGCGACAUAUGAUGUUAGUGAGAAGUGUU